rnacentral:rRNA from 1 species
GAUGAACGCUGGCGGCGUGCCUAAUACAUGCAAGUCGAGCGAACAGAUGAGGAGCUUGCUCCUCUGACGUUAGCGGCGGACGGGUGAGUAACACGUGGAUAACCUACCUAUAAGACUGGGAUAACUUCGGGAAACCGGAGCUAAUACCGGAUAAUAUAUUGAACCGCAUGGUUCAAUAGUGAAAGACGGUUUUGCUGUCACUUAUAGAUGGAUCCGCGCCGCAUUAGCUAGUUGGUAAGGUAACGGCCUACCAAGGCGACGAUGCGUAGCCGACCUGAGAGGGUGAUCGGCCACACUGGAACUGAGACACGGUCCAGACUCCUACGGGAGGCAGCAGUAGGGAAUCUUCCGCAAUGGGCGAAAGCCUGACGGAGCAACGCCGCGUGAGUGAUGAAGGUCUUCGGAUCGUAAAACUCUGUUAUUAGGGAAGAACAAAUGUGUAAGUAACUAUGCAUGUCUUGACGGUACCUAAUCAGAAAGCCACGGCUAACUACGUG